rnacentral:lncRNA from 1 species
GCUGGUUGUUUUGUGUAUGCCAAAUUAAACAAAUAGCAACUACAACAUAAAGAUCUGUCGAACACAAUAUCAAAUGACAUACCGAACAAGAAUAUCCACCAUACUAUACCAACCAGCAAGAAGCCGCAUCUGUUAUGCACAGAAUAAAAAGCCUUUCGGAAAACUGCUUCUACUCUGCCAUGCAUUAUAUCAAUAUUCCCUUCAACAUAGAAAAAUCAGUGUACCAUAAGUUCGUUAGAGAGGCCUUAUAAUCAUGAGAAUAUAAAAAACAUGCAAAAUCAAGAUAAUUAAAAACAUCAACAAACUUGUAUAUUCUUCCAAGAUACUACAGCAUGGGAAAUUUUGAGCUAUAGCCAUUGGCACAGCGUCAGUAUCCAAUGACCCACGAUUGUAGUGAAACACCAAAUCAUUCGCC